GAUGAACGCUGGCGGCGUGCCUAAUACAUGCAAGUCGAGCGAACGGACGAGAAGCUUGCUUCUCUGAUGUUAGCGGCGGACGGGUGAGUAACACGUGGAUAACCUACCUAUAAGACUGGGAUAACUUCGGGAAACCGGAGCUAAUACCGGAUAAUAUUUUGAACCGCAUGGUUCAAAAGUGAAAGACGGUCGUGCUGUCACUAAUAGCUGGAUCCGCGCUGCAUUAGCUAGUUGGUAAGGUAACGGCUUACCAAGGCAACGAUGCAUAGCCGACCUGAGAGGGUGAUCGGCCACACUGGAACUGAGACACGGUCCAGACUCCUACGGGAGGCAGCAGUAGGGAAUCUUCCGCAAUGGGCGAAAGCCUGACGGAGCAACGCCGCGUGAGUGAUGAAGGUCUUCGGAUCGUAAAACUCUGUUAUUAGGGAAGAACAUAUGUGUAAGUAACUGUGCACAUCUUGACGGUACCUAAUCAGAAAGCCACGGCUAACUACGUG
rnacentral:rRNA from 1 species